CGACCCCCUCGGUGUCGUAGCCAACGCGUUAAGUGUUCCGCCUGGGGAGUACGCACGCAAGUGUGAAACUCAAAGGAAUUGACGGGGGCCCGCACAAGCGGUGGAGUAUGUGGUUUAAUUCGAUGCAACGCGAAGAACCUUACCAGGGUUUGACAUCCUGCGAACCCCUGAGAAAUCGGGGGGUGCCUUCGGGAGCGCAGAGACAGGUGGUGCAUGGCUGUCGUCAAGCUCGUGUCGUGAGAUGUUGGGUUAAGUCCCGCAACGAGCGCAACCCACAUCGUUAGUUGCCA
rnacentral:rRNA from 1 species